AGGGAAUUUUCGUCAAUGGGGGGAACCCUGAACGAGCAAUGCCGCGUGAGUGAGGAAGGUCUUCGGAUCGUAAAGCUCUGUUGUAAGAGAAAAACGGCACUCAUAGGGAAUGAUGAGUGAGUGAUGGUAUCUUACCAGAAAGUCACGGCUAACUACGUGCCAGCAGCCGCGGUAAUACGUAGGUGGCGAGCGUUAUCCGGAAUGAUUGGGCGUAAAGGGCGCGUAGGUGGCAGAUCAAGUCUGGAGUAAAAGGUAUGGGCUCAACCCGUACUGGCUCUGGAAACUGAUCAGCUAGAGAACAGAAGAGGACGGCGGAACUCCAUGUGUAGCGGUAAAAUGCGUAGAUAUAUGGAAGAACACCGGUGGCGAAGGCGGCCGUCUGGUCUGGAUUCUGACACUGAAGCACGAAAGCGUGGGGAGCAAAC
rnacentral:rRNA from 1 species